AUAUCCUCGGCAAGAUAAACCAGUUCUGAAUGUAGAUGAUGUCUUGGUGGUACAGAUGACUCCACAAAAGCAAUUUGACCCAUCAAGAGCAAAGGAAUAUUUUACAACUUGCUCAGAACGAAAUGUUGAAACAUGUUUCUGAAGUCAGUACUCCCGCUGCACUCUUCAACCUGUUGCUUGUGCUCAGUUGCAUCAGAGGACUAUCAGAAUGAGCAUCGUGAGGAGUGCGACAUUAACCCAAAUCUUAAAUGGAAGAAUACCGUUGCAUCAGGAGUUUUAUGUAGUAGAUGACCCACCCUCUCACUUCCCAUUGGUUGUCUACCAUCAGUGAAGUAUGAGUCAGAUGUGUGAUACUAUAUCCUCCAGUGGGGUGGAUGGAUACAACAUCUUCAAUUUCAGGGAGCACAAUAUCAUCCAGACUGAAGAAAUCUGCUUGACUGGCAUAUAUUAAAUAUUCACUGCUCACAAAAAUUACUUCUGAAAGAAACCACAUUGGGAUCUCCCAAUCUAAAUUGAUUUACUCCACUCCUUAAAUUGACUAUAAAUUUAUGUUGUUAGCUGUAAAAUCAACUCUUUGCAGUGCACACCAUUCAACUUCUGACUCAUUCGUUUAUACAUAAUUCCUAAUGAACCCUCUGUUGAUAAUGAAAUAUUCAAUAAGUUUUAAAAUGAGCAUUGCAAGCCCUUGACAAAAAGUUCCAGGAAUUUGAGUGAAGAUCUAUGAAUGCACAUGAUUAACAAAGAUUCCCUAUGGUGAUUAAUUCACAAAGGCACAGCCGAUUUCAAGGACAGGAGCAAUUUCUGGAGUGAUCAUUCUUUUAAACCAGGAGCAAACCUAACCAAGAAAAGAUGCCAGGUCAAAUCACUCUAUACAAGGUGAUAAUUUGGAGUUAAUUCCCAUUGCAGGCUAUGAUCAGCAAGUCUUUUCUUUUCCUUCAGCUGUUGUCUUUGCCAUACAGGAACAUGAAUAAAUGAGUCAUAUGUGUGUGAGCCUUACAUCAGUAGAUCAGGCCAUUGUUUUAAAUUAAUUGCGAAAAUUAUUUACUCUCACUGCAGUAUCCAGCAACACAGAAUAUCAAGUUAUG